CUGCUGGUAAAGGUCAUUACGUAUUACUUUACUUACGGAAAAGAAACCAACAGGGAUUGCCCCAGUAACGGCGAGUGAAGCGGAAACAGCUCAAAUUUGAAAUCUGGCCCCCAGGGCCCGAGUUGUAAUUUGUAGAGGAUGCUUUGGGGAGGCGCCUUCCGAGUUCCCUGGAACGGGACGCCACAGAGGGUGAGAGCCCCGUCUGGUUGGAUGCCGAGCCUCUGUAAAGCUCCUUCGACGAGUCGAGUAGUUUGGGAAUCCUGCUCUAAAUGGGAGGUAUAUGUCUUCUAAAGCUAAAUAUUGGCCAGAGACCGAUAGCGCACAAGUAGAGUGAUCGAAAGAUGAAAAGCACUUUGAAAAGAGGGUUAAAUAGUACGUGAAAUUGUUGAAAGGGAAGCGCUCAUGACCAGACUUGGGCCCGGUGAAUCAUCCAGCGGUUCUCGCUGGUGCACUUUGCCGGGCUCAGGCCAGCAUCAGUUCGCCCCGGGGGACAAAGGCUCUGGGAAUGUGGCUCCUCCGGGAGUGUUAUAGCCCUCUGCUGCAUGCCCUGGGGCGGACUGAGGUUCGCGCGUCUGCAAGGAUGCUGGCGUAAUGGUCAUCAGCGACCCGUCUUGAAACACGGACCAAGGAGUCGUCCUCGUAUGCGAGUGUUCGGGUGUCAAACCCCUACGCGUAAUGAAAGUGAACGCAGGUGAGAGCUUCGGCGCAUCAUCGACCGAUCCUGAUGUUCUCGGAUGGAUUUGAGUAGGAGCAUACGGGGCCGGACCCGAAAGAAGGUGAACUAUGCCUGUAUAGGGUGAAGCCAGAGGAAACUCUGGUGGAGGCUCGCAGCGGUUCUGACGUGCAAAUCGAUCGUCAAAUAUGGGCAUGGGGGCGAAAGACUAAUCGAACCUUCUAGUAGCUGGUUUCCGCCGAAGUUUCCCUCAGGAUAGCAGUGUUGAUCUCAGUUUUAUGAGGUAAAGCGAAUGAUUAGGGACUCGGGGG
rnacentral:rRNA from 1 species